rnacentral:rRNA from 1 species
AUUGAACGCUGGCGGCAGGCCUAACACAUGAAAGUCGAACGGUAGCACAGAGAGCUUGCUCUCGGGUGACGAGUGGCGGACGGGUGAGUAAUGUCUGGGAAACUGCCUGAUGGAGGGGGGUAACUACUGGAAACGGUAGCUAAUACCGCAUAACGUCGCAAGACCAAAGAGGGGGACCUUCGGGCCUCUUGCCAUCAGAUGUGCCCAGAUGGGAUUAGCUAGUAGGUGGGGUAACGGCUCACCUAGGCGACGAUCCCUAGCUGGUCUGAGAGGAUGACCAGCCACACUGGAACUGAGACACGGUCCAGACUCCUACGGGAGGCAGCAGUGGGGAAUAUUGCACAAUGGGCGCAAGCCUGAUGCAGCCAUGCCGCGUGUAUGAAGAAGGCCUCGGGUUGUAAAGUACUUUCAGCGGGGAGGAAGGUGAUAAGGUUAAUAACCUUGUCGAUUGACGUUACCCGCAGAAGAAGCACCGGCUAACUCCGUGCCAGCCGCCGCGGUAA